rnacentral:rRNA from 1 species
UGGGGAAUAUUGGACAAUGGGCGGAAGCCUGAUCCAGCAAUGCCGCGUGUGUGAAGAAGGCCUGCGGGUUGUAAAGCACUUUCAGUGGGGAGAAAAAGCUCUUAAGUAAUAUGUAAGAGGAUUGAUGUUACCCACAGAAGAAGCACCGGCUAACUCUGUGCCAGCAGCCGCGGUAAUACAGAGGGUGCGAGCGUUAAUCGGAAUUACUGGGCGUAAAGGGUGCGUAGGUGGUUAUAUAAGUUAGGUGUGAAAUUCCCGAGCUCAACUUGGGGACUGCGCCUAAUACUGUGAGACUAGAGUACUGUAGAGGGAAGUGGAAUUUCCGGUGUAGCGGUGAAAUGCGUAGAUAUCGGAAGGAACAUCAGUGGCGAAGGCGACUUUCUGGACAGAUACUGACACUGAGGCACGAAAGCGUGGGGAGCAAACAGG